GACGAACGCUGGCGGCGUGCUUAACACAUGCAAGUCGAACGGAAAGGCCCUGCUUUUGUGGGGUUCUCGGGUGGCGAACGCGGGCGUAACACGUGAGUAACCUGCCCUAGACUUUGGGAUAACUUCAGGAAAGUGAGGCUACUCCCGGAUAGGAGCUCCUGUUGCGUUGUGAGGGUUGGAACGUUGCGGCUGUAGGGGAUGGACUAGCGGCUUAUGAGCUUGUUGGUGGGGUAGUGGCUUACCAAGCAUUUGACGGAUCGGCGGCCCGAGAGGGUGACCGGCCACAAUGGGACUGCGAGACGGAGCAGUCUCCUAUGGUAGGCAGUAGGGGGGAACAUGGCCCAAUGGGCGGACGUGUGAGGCAGCAGCGUUGCGUUCGGGAAGACGGCUUGCGGGGUGUAAACCGCUGUCGCCUGUUACGAAGCUGGAGUGACGGUAACGGGAGAAGAAGCACCGGCUAACUACGUG
rnacentral:rRNA from 1 species